rnacentral:rRNA from 1 species
UGGGUAACCUGCCUGUAAGACUGGGAUAACUCCGGGAAACCGGAGCUAAUACCGGAUAGUUCCUUGAACCGCAUGGUUCAAGGAUGAAAGACGGUUUCGGCUGUCACUUACAGAUGGACCCGCGGCGCAUUAGCUAGUUGGUGAGGUAACGGCUCACCAAGGCGACGAUGCGUAGCCGACCUGAGAGGGUGAUCGGCCACACUGGGACUGAGACACGGCCCAGACUCCUACGGGAGGCAGCAGUAGGGAAUCUUCCGCAAUGGACGAAAGUCUGACGGAGCAACGCCGCGUGAGUGAUGAAGGUUUUCGGAUCGUAAAGCUCUGUUGUUAGGGAAGAACAAGUGCAAGAGUAACUGCUUGCACCUUGACGGUACCUAACCAGAAAGCCACGGCUAACUACGUGCCAGCAGCCGCGGUAAUACGUAGGUGGCAAGCGUUGUCCGGAAUUAUUGGGCGUAAAGGGCUCGCAGGCGGUUUCUUAAGUCUGAUGUGAAAGCCCCCGGCUCAACCGGGGAGGGUCAUUGGAAACUGGGAAACUUGAGUGCAGAAGAGGAGAGUGGAAUUCCACGUGUAGCGGUGAAAUGCGUAGAGAUGUGGAGGAACACCAGUGGCGAAGGCGACUCUCUGGUCUGUAACUGACGCUGAGGAGCGAAAGCGUGGG